AGUCAGUAUUGAAAGUAAGUAAAGAUAAUUACUUUAAUUUAACUUUAUCAAAAAUAUUGUAUACAAUUAACUCUUUAGAAUCAUUAAGACCUUAAUUACACAGUAAAUUAUCUUUACUAAAAUAUUCUGUAUGAUCACUUUGAACUAUGUGUAUUCAACAAAAAAUUAUUGCUUACAAUAUCAUUUGAGCAGUUAAGACAAAUUAACAAUAGAUGACUGGGGACAUAUCGGCCAAAGAAGAUUUGAUAAUCUAAUGGCCAAAGUCGUAUA